GACGAACGCUUGCGGCGUGCCUAAAAAAUGCAAGUCGAACGGGGGGGCUUCGGCCCCUAGUGGCGAACGGUCGCGUAACACGUAAGCAACCUGCCCCGAAGUGGGGGAUAACAGUCCGAAAGGACUGCUAAUACCGCAUGUGGCCGUUCCCUCGCAUGGGGGUGCGUCCAAAGGCGAAAGCCGCUUCGGGAUGGGCUUGCGGCCUAUCAGGUAGUUGGUGGGGUAACGGCCCACCAAGCCGACGACGGGUAGCUGGUCUGAGAGGACGAUCAGCCGGAUUGGGACUGAGAUACGGCCCAGACUCCUACGGGGGGCAGCAAUUAGGAAUCUUGCGCAAUGGGGGAAACCCUGACGCAGCGACGUCGCGUGGAGGAUGAAGGUCCUCGGAUCGUAAACUCCUUUUAAGAGGGAAGAAAUUUGACGGUACCUCUUGAAUAAGCCCCGGCUAACUACGUGCCAGCAGCCGCCGCGGUAA
rnacentral:rRNA from 1 species